rnacentral:rRNA from 1 species
AGUGAACGCUGGCGGUAGGCCUAACACAUGCAAGUCGAACGGCAGCACAGUAAGAGCUUGCUCUUACGGGUGGCGAGUGGCGGACGGGUGAGGAAUACAUCGGAAUCUACUUUUUCGUGGGGGAUAAUGUAGGGAAACUUACGCUAAUACCGCAUACGACCUACGGGUGAAAGCAGGGGAUCUUCGGACCUUGCACGAUUGAAUGAGCCGAUGUCGGAUUAGCUAGUUGGCGGGGUAAAGGCCCACCAAGGCGACGAUCCGUAGCUGGUCUGAGAGGAUGAUCAGCCACACUGGAACUGAGACACGGUCCAGACUCCUACGGGAGGCGGCAGUGGGGAAUAUUGGACAAUGGGCGCAAGCCUGAUCCAGCCAUACCGCGUGGGUGAAGAAGGCCUUCGGGUUGUAAAGCCCUUUUGUUGGGAAAGAAAAGCAGCAGGUUAAUACCCCGCUGUUCUGACGGUACCCAAAGAAUAAGCACCGGCUAACUUCGUG